rnacentral:rRNA from 1 species
AUGAACGCUGGCGGCGUGCCUAAUACAUGCAAGUCGAGCGAACGGACGAGAAGCUUGCUUUUCUGAUGUUAGCGGCGGACGGGUGAGUAACACGUGGAUAACCUACCUAUAAGACUGGGAUAACUUCGGGAAACCGGAGCUAAUACCGGAUAAUAUUUUGAACCGCAUGGUUCAAAAGUGAAAGACGGUCUUGCUGUCACUUAUAGAUGGAUCCGCGCUGCAUUAGCUAGUUGGUAAGGUAACGGCUUACCAAGGCAACGAUGCAUAGCUGACCUGAGAGGGUGAUCGGCCACACUGGAACUGAGACACGGUCCAGACUCCUACGGGAGGCAGCAGUAGGGAAUCUUCCGCAAUGGGCGAAAGCCUGACGGAGCAACGCCGCGUGAGUGAUGAAGGUCUUCGGAUCGUAAAACUCUGUUAUUAGGGAAGAACAUAUGUGUAAGUAACUGUGCACAUCUUGACGGUACCUAAUCAGAAAGCCACGGCUAACUACGUG